AUUUUCAACAAGAGAAGGACAAGAAGGUGAAGGGUGCUGAGUAAGAGCCACCACCACAAAUGUGAGCAACAUCUACAUUUUUCUGAUCGAUUAACCUAAGUCCUUGGAUUACAAGUUGGUGUGUUGUACAAUUUGGAGGUUGAGUAUCAAACUAUCAAUUGUGAAUUAGAAGAGAGGAGCAGAUUGAGCUAUAAACCGAGCUCUUUUCCCGACCCAAAACACAGCCGUACGUGUCGUUUCGGCCGGCCAGUUCAUAUCGCCGUCGUGCUCCUCCCAACAGUAGCGGCUUGCUCUACUAUCACCGGAAGUGAGAGAUCCGAAGUUCCAAAGUCUUGCCUGGUCCAAGUUCUCCGGCGACUUCGCAGCUUCUUUCUCACGUUUUUAGCCACCGAUUCGACUAUAUUUGGAUUGGAGGCUGCUCUGCCAAUUUUGGGCUUCAAUAGGCUUUGUGUGCAGCUGGUGAAGUACUGGAAAUUUUAUGGGUUCAUUUGAUCACCCCGACUCAAAUUCUACUGCAUUGAGUUCGUUGAAGGAAGCUUCUACCAUUUGGGAAAUUUAAAGGAAGAAGUAGUUGAAUUAAAAGACAAAUUCCAAGAAGAAGUAGUUGAAGGAAUUGAGAAGCUGACAGGACCAGAAGCCAGCAAGUAGAGAAUGUUUCAGAACUGCAAGAGCAGAUUGAGUUACUAAGCCAAAUCCUUAAUGUUGGUAUGCAGGAAUCGUUUUUCAAGAAGCAAGAGAAAGUUGCAGCCGCAGUGAUUAAUUCAAGUCCUCCUCUUACUAGUCAGAAACUGCCCUACCAUAGUUCAUCAACUUUCUCUAGGGUAAAUACUUCAAAAAUUUGUACUAUACAUUAAUAAUUAUAGCCUCUACCUUGUCAUUUAACUUAUAACUGCUGCAACUUUUUUCUGGGCUCAGGAGAACUGUUUAGUAUUGUUUGGGAUGAUGCAUAAACUUCAGGAAAAGACACUUCAGGUGCAGGGAACUUUGUUGGAUCUCUUGACCACAAGAGAGUCAAGUUAUAAAACUAGUAAAUCUCUUAUACAGUCAGAGGAAACAAUGCCUGGUUUUGGUAGGCAACUAAGUUGAAAGGGUAAAAAGGCGACUGAAUAUGAUUGCUUUAAGUCAAAGUGUGUGUGUGUGUGUGUGUGUCAGCAUCAUAUGCUUCCUUUCUGUUUUCCAUAUUAAUUUCUAAAAUUCUAUGGACUAGUAAAAGUAAUGGAGGCAAAUUAACUGCAUACCUCAGGUUUUAUAGUAGCUUUAGGCAUUUUUCGUCGAAAUUGGUUUUUCAUUCAUCUUAGUUGCAGGUGGUUGAGGAUGGCUAUGAAUUUUUUGCGAAACGAAGAGUAGUCACUAUAUUCUCAGCUCCAAACUAUGGAGGGGAGUUCGAUAGUGCUGGUGCUCUAAUGAGUGUUGUUGAAGCUCUACUGUGUUCCUUUGAGAUACUUAAAUCUAGUGCUGAUGAAGCCUCAAAUACUCGUUUAAAUCUUAAGAAUGUAUUUUUACCUUACAUUAUAUUCAUUUUAAUUAUGAUAUGUAUGGCUAUAUCUGAUCCCACUGGCCUAUUUUUUUUUUAAUUCUUUGGCAGCCGCUUAAAGCUGAAAAGAACUAAUCAUUUUUUAGGUUUCUCACUGCUCCAUAAUUAGAAACUCGAUUAAUGGUUCGAACUCUUCUAGUGCAUGACCUUGCGCGAUGCGGGAGAAGCUUGGAUCAUAUUGAUUAACACAGGAGAAGCUGGACCCUACCGGAAGAUAUCGGAUAAGUCAGUUUCAUGGUAGGGUAUCAAAGGAACCUAUCUGUCAGGUUGGGAAUUCAAAUCCGAGUUGGCCAACUACUUGCUUCCUUUCCAAAUUGGUGGAAUGGAUAAGACAUGGGUAAAGCUACAUAGGAAUAGUACGGAAUAUUUAGUCGGACUUCAAAAUUUCAUCGGAAACACCCUCAAUCUGUAGACGAGCAGAUGAUAAAUGACUUCAAAAUUUCAUCUGACAUGAAGAUUUGCACCACCAUGUUGCCACA